UACAGAGGGGGCAAGCGUUGUUCGGAAUUACUGGGCGUAAAGGGCGCGUAGGCGGCCAAAUAAGUCAGACGUGAAAUCCCCAGGCUCAACCUGGGAACUGCGUCUGAUACUGGAUGGCUUGAGUACGGGAGAGGGAAGUGGAAUUCCAGGUGUAGCGGUGAAAUGCGUAGAUAUCUGGAGGAACACCGGUGGCGAAGGCGGCUUCCUGGACCGACACUGACGCUGAGGCGCGAAAGCCAGGGGAGCAAACGGG
rnacentral:rRNA from 1 species